AAUGGACGAAAGUCUGAUGCAGCGACACCGCGUGAAGGAUGAAGGCCCUAGGGUUGUAAACUUCUUUUAUUAGGGAAUAGCAAGGAAGGUACCUAAUGAAUAAGCAACGGCUAACUACGUGCCAGCAGCCGCGGUAAUACGUAGGUUGCAAACGUUGUCCGGAAUCACUGGGCGUAAAGGGUCCGUAGGCGGUUUGAUAAGUCUCAUAUGAAAGCUUCAAGCUCAACUUGGAGAUGUUGUGAGAUACUGUCAGACUAGAGACUGUUAGAGGUAAGUGGAAUUCCAGGCGUAGUGGUGAAAUGCGUAGAUAUCUGGAGGAACACCAGUGGCGAAAGCGACUUACUGGGACAGUUCUGACGCUAAGGGACGAAAGCGUGGGGAGCGAACCGGAUU
rnacentral:rRNA from 1 species